rnacentral:sRNA from 1 species
ACUGAAUUUCCCGUAUGGGAAAAGGGGGGACCCAUAUAGGUUUCGUUGGGACGAAUCCCGCGUGAGCGGGUAGGGCUGUCUUCCGGACCAAGUCCGUCAGCUAACCUCGUAAGCGCGUAGGAAGG